AACGCUGGCGGCGCGUCCUAAACAUGCAAGUCGAACGAUCUGUAGCAAUACAGGGAGUGGCGGACGGGUGAGGAACACGUAGGAAUCUACCUUGAAGAGCGGGACAACUUUGGGAAACCGGGGGCUAAUACCGCAUAGUACAGAGAUGUUAAAGGGCUAGCAAUAGUCGCUUCGAGAUGAGCCUGCGGUCUAUCAGCUUGUUGGUGAGGUAAUGGCUCACCAAGGCUACGACGGAUAGCCGGUCUGAGAGGAUGAUCGGCCACACUGGCACUGAGACACGGGCCAGACUCCUACGGGAGGCAGCAGUUAAGAAUCUUGCGCAAUGGGGGAAACCCUGACGCAGCGACGCCGCGUGAAGGAUGAAGGCUUUCGGGUUGUAAACUUCGGUAGACUGGGAAGAAGAAAUACGUUCGUUGAGGGCGUAUAGUGACGGUACCAGUCUGAAGCCCCGGCUAAUUACGUG
rnacentral:rRNA from 1 species